rnacentral:rRNA from 1 species
CCUACGGGAGGCAGCAGUGGGGAAUAUUGCGCAAUGGGGGAAACCCUGAUGCAGCGACGCCGCGUGGAGGAAGAAGGUCUUCGGAUUGUAAACUCCUGUUGUUGAGGAAGAUAAUGACGGUACUCAACAAGGAAGUGACGGCUAACUACGUGC